ACUGUCGUGCGGAUAUAUUCAUGGGCGGUCCCAUUUUUCCUACAAAUUUUCGGUGUAUACCGUGGAAAAAAUCUGGAUUAUCUUAUUACGCCAAUAAUAGAAGAAGUGUUAACACAGCUAUUUCUCUUAUGAAGUCACAACAAUCGUCUCUGUUAAACAAAGAUGUCCGUUCCAAUUGAUUGAUAGCAUGAAGAGAGGGAAACCAAUAAGAAUUCGACAUCUGUUCCAAAGGGCGUUCUAUCCACGCCCUUUAGCGUCCAGCACUUAUGUGGGAGACACAUAGAGCCACGAUUAAAGGGUGGCAUGCUAGAGUGGUGGAAUAUGUAUAUAAAUGUAUAAUAGCGGAAGAGUUCACAGCGAAUGGGCGCCGAUGACGUAUAGUACGAAAGGAGCGGGAGAAGUUCUCUUGCCUUUGAGAGAACACGGGUACUCGAAGUGGGGGAGUCCUGCCGCAUGACGCUGGCCCAGAGUAAGACCCAACACAGUUAGGGCUCACGCGUCGUACUGUUAACAGACCCGGUCUGCUACCGAUCACCUUGAACAACAGAAGUACCGAUCCGCACCAUGGUGACUUGGUGAUGUGUCUUCCGUUCUUAUUGUGGCAUCAGUAGGGUGUUUAGGGUAUACAUUCGCGCGCAUCUCUAACAGAGGAUAUUAUAUCGCAACGGUACGGGGAACAUUUGCAUGACCUUGUUUCGGAUUUUUCUUGCCAGUGAUAGUGGUAAACUAUGUUGUCUUCUCGCGCGUGAUCCGUGAGACCCGAAUUAGUGCGUGUGUUCUGGAUGCUGAUCGAGUGACACACUGUGUGCAUUUUGUGCGCUUUGGAUAGAUUUACAAGUAGUCUCCUGAAGUAGAGAAGAUAGCUGACUUCGCUGCCUAGACCGCUAGAUUCCAGAAUAUAGAUUGAAGCUAAAGGACGAAAUAUGGACCAACACAAUAAUUACAAUUUUAUUAGGCAGAAUAAUAUGGAGAACGCACCCACACACA